rnacentral:rRNA from 1 species
CAGUAGCCGCGGUAAAACGGAGGAUCCAAGCGUUAUUCGGAAUCAUUGGGUUUAAAGGGUCCGUAGGCGGUCUUGUAAGUCAGUGGUGAAAGCCCAUCGCUCAACGGUGGAACGGCCAUUGAUACUGCAGGACUUGAAUUAUUGGGAAGUAACUAGAAUAUGUAGUGUAGCGGUGAAAUGCUUAGAGAUUACAUGGAAUACCAAUUGCGAAGGCAGGUUACUACCAAUUGAUUGACGCUGAUGGACGAAAGCGUGGGUAGCGAACAGGAUUAGAUACCCGCGUAGUCCCUGUCUCUUAUAC